CCUACGGGCGGCAGCAGUGGGGAAUAUUGGACAAUGGGGGAAACCCUGAACCAGCGACGCCGCGUGAGUGAAGAAGGAUUUAGGGACGUAAAGCUCUAUCAGCAGGAAAGAAAAUGACGGUACCUGACGAAGAAGCCCCGGCUAACUACGUGCCAGCAGCCGCGGGAAUAAGUCGGGGGGCAGCGUUAUCCGGAUUGAUUGGGUGGUAAGGGGGCGUAGACGGGAGCGCAAGUCAGGUGUGAAAUGGCGGGGCCCAACCCCGGAAGUGCUGUUGAAACUGUCAAGCUUGAGUGCAGGAGAGGUAAGCGGAAUUCGUGGUGGAGCGGUGAAAUGCGUAGAUAUCACGAGGAACGCCGGCGGCGAAGGCGGCUUACUGGACUGUAACUGACGUUGAGGCUCGAAGGCGUGGGGAGCAAACAGGAUUAGAUACCCGAGUAGUC
rnacentral:rRNA from 1 species